CACAGAGGCGAGCGCAGAGCCGUAAAAUGUCGUAACGUCAGAUAUAAAACGUGACGCCUCUCUUCCUGCGUCCUUCUCUCCGCUUCAACUCGCCUGCGAGAAGACUGUCUAAAACUGGUUUCGGGAACAGUAGACUACAGCAGCACGUGGUGAAUACUCUUGCAGACUCGUGGGUAUGGAGAAAGCUACUGAACUAAAACGUUAUUUUUUCAGAUUACUUUAGUAGUUAAAUGCACUAAUUAUCUUCCACUGCAUUGAUCCAUUGUGGGUGAUUUGGUCUUUGUGGGGGACACGUGUUUAAAGACUUCUCGGAUCUUGUAGAUGGCCAAGUAGCUUGUCAAAUGCGGAAUGUCUCAAAUAGGGCAAAUUCCUCCGUCGGCUUGGCUAGAAUAACAGCAGGUUUGCUUUCAUCACUGUAGAAUCGUUGCAGUGAUGACAAUGAGGCCUGGUAUACUCCGAGCAUGUCUCUACUGCUGUACUUUGAGGCGAUAUGAAGGCAAAUGUUAUUGAUUUCUCCCAACAGGAAAUUCUUCGGCAUCUCCAUGCUGUUUGAAAUGUGUAGUAACCAACAUAUGCAGUAUGGUUUUGGAUGACUGGUCCUCGUGUGAACGGACUGGACAUUCAGGUAAGAAUUUAUUGGGAUAAUGAUGAAUUGGAGGUCUGUAAUGAUGAUUGGCAUUAAUGUUCAACUGCUCUUACUAACCAUGAAAGAGAAUGUGCCAUUCUGAACACUAAAACUCCCUUUCAUUUGAUUAAGAGUGUAAAUAUUAUUUUCUAAUGUUUGUUUCCUACUUUCAGGCUCCAGAACACAAUGUGGGAGAAUAAUCCUGUGAAUUAAUGCAUAAUUUAUUUGAGGAAGCUUGUCCUAAUGGUGCGAUCUGAAGGAUGUCCACUAGAAGGCGCAACACCCCUUUUUGUUGACUGCCGGUGUGUGAGAGGUCCUAUAUGAUUAGAUUGAAGAAUAAAUGUUGGCAGCUGAUCGUUCUUCCAGUACUGCAAGCUGAAAAGUUUGGCGUUAGAGUGAAGGGUUUUCCAGCCAGACAUUUCUUGGAAGGUGAGAGUUGUUCCACACCUUUUGGAUCACUUUCAAAGGGGGUCAGCCACUUCUUUUCACUGGUGACCCUUAACGCUGUGAUCCUACAUCAGUGCCCUAUGAGAUGUUUUGCAAGGGUUUUUGGAAAAUAAACCGCUUGUUGUCUUUAGGGCAACACCUGAUUCACUUUAAAGCAGUAUUAUUGGUCUAUUGUAUUGGCAUGUUUAAUAUGAAUGCAAUUUGCUUUUGUCUCU